UGAGGAAUAUUGGGCAAUGCCCGCAAGGGUGACUCAGCAACGCCGCGUGGAGGAUGAAUGUCGUAAGAUUGUAAACUCCUGUUAGAGGGGAAGAAUAGUACCGGUUGGACCGGUAUAUGACUGUACCCUCAGAGAAAGCCCCGGCUAACUACGUGCCAGCAGCCGCGGUAAUACGUAGGGGGCAAGCGUUGUCCGGAUUUACUGGUGUAAAGGGCGCGCAGGCGGGAUAAAAAGUCAGUGGUGAAAUCCUACAGCUUAACUGUAGAACUGCCUUUGAUACUUUUAUUCUUGAGUUCGGGAGAGAGAGACGGAAUUCCAGGUGUAGUGGUUAAAUACGUAGAUAUCUGGAAGAACACCAGUUGCGAAGGCGGUCUCUUGGUCCGACACUGACGCUGAGGCGCGAAAGCGUGGGGAGCAAACA
rnacentral:rRNA from 1 species